UCCGGUAUGGUGUAUCGGUUAGCAUCAUCGUCUUUCAUCACCAGUUGGUGAAGACCACGAUAGAGCCGGGUUCGACUCCCGGUACCGGAA